UACGUAGGGGGCAAGCGUUGUCCGGAAUCAUUGGGCGUAAAGCGCGUGUAGGCGGCCCGGUAAGUCCGCUGUGAAAGUCGGGGGCUCAACCCUCGAAUGCCGGUGGAUACUGUCGGGCUAGAGUGCGGAAGAGGCGAGUGGAAUUCCUGGUGUAGCGGUGAAAUGCGCAGAUAUCAGGAGGAACACCAAUUGCGAAGGCAGCUCGCUGGGACGUUACUGACGCUGGAGACGCGAAAGCGUGGGGAGCGAACGGG
rnacentral:rRNA from 1 species